rnacentral:rRNA from 1 species
GAUGAACGCUGGCGGCGUGCCUAAUACAUGCAAGUCGAGCGAACAGACGAGGAGCUUGCUCCUCUGACGUUAGCGGCGGACGGGUGAGUAACACGUGGAUAACCUCCCUAUAAGACUGGGAUAACUUCGGGAAACCGGAGCUAAUACCGGAUAAUAUAUUGAACCGCAUGGUUCAAUAGUGAAAGACGGUUUUGCUGUCACUUAUAGAUGGAUCCGCGCCGCAUUAGCUAGUUGGUAAGGUAACGGCUUACCAAGGCAACGAUGCGUAGCCGACCUGAGAGGGUGAUCGGCCACACUGGAACUGAGACACGGUCCAGACUCCUACGGGAGGCAGCAGUAUGGAAUCUUCCGCAAUGGGCGAAAGCCUGACGGAGCAACGCCGCGUGAGUGAUGAAGGUCUUCGGAUCGUAAAACUCUGUUAUUAGGGAAGAACAAAUGUGGAAGUAACUAUGCACGUCUUGACGGUACCUAAUCAGAAAGCCACGGCUAACUACGUG